GAGUUCUCUGAAGCUUUAUCAGAAUACAGUAGUCGAAUACAAUCAUCUGAAGGAAGAUCAGCAGAAAAGAGACGUAGAGCGAAAGAAAGUAGAUGGAAAAGUCAAGAAAUUAGAAGACACUGUCCAGAAACAAAAAGAAGAAUGCAAAGAGCUGAAGAUGGGGAAGAAAGCACUAGAAAGAGAUCUGAAACAAAC